rnacentral:rRNA from 1 species
CAGCCGCGGUAAUACGUAGGUGGCAAACGUUGUUCGGAAUUACUGGGCAUAAAGAGUUUGUAGGCGGCUUAAUAAGUCAGGUGUGAAAUCCCGGGGCUCAACUUCGGAACGGCAUUUGAUACUGUUAGGCUAGAAUAACGGAGAGGUGAGUAGAAUUCAUGGUGUAGCGGUGAAAUGCGUUGAUAUCAUGGAGAAUACCAAUGGCGAAGGCAGCUCACUGGCCGAUUAUUGACGCUGAGAAACGAAAGCUAGGGUAGCGAAAGGGAUUAGAUACCCCUGUAGUCCUAGCCCUAAACGAUGUACAUUGUAUGGUGGGAAUCUUGCAUUUUCACUGUAGCAGCUAAUGCGUUAAAUGUACCGCCUGGGGAGUAUGGUCGCAAGGCUAAAACUCAAAGGAAUUGACGGGGGCUCACACAAGCGGUGGAGCAUGUUGUUUAAUUCGAAGAUACGCGAAGAACCUUACCCAGACUUGACAUGUACGGAUUAGAUUGCAGAAAUGCAGUUGACACUCAUUCUGAGUGGAACGUACACAGGUGUUGCAUGGCUGUCGUCAGCUCGUGUCGUGAGAUGUGAGGUUAAGUCCUUUAACGAGCGCAACCCCUAUCUUCUGUUACCAUCGCGUAAAGGCGGGGACUCUGGAGAGACUGCCGGUGUUAAACCGGAGGAAGGCGGGGACGACGUCAAGUCAUCAUGGCCCUUAUGUCUGGGGCUACAAACGUGCUACAAUGCGGAGUACAACGGGGUGCGAUACAGUAAUGUGGAGCAAAUCUCUAAAAACUUCGCCUAGUUCAGAUUGUGGUCUGAAACUCGACCACAUGAAGCCGGAAUCGCUAGUAAUCGCGGGUCAGCAACACCGCGGUGAAUAUGUACCUGAGCCUUGU